rnacentral:rRNA from 1 species
GUAGGGUGGGCAAGCGUUGUCCCGGAAUUAUUGGGGCGUUAAAAGCGCGCGCAGGGCGGUCCUUUAAGUCUGAUGUGAAAAGCCCACGGCUCAAACCGUGGAGGGUCAUUGGAAAACUGGGGGGACUUGAGUACAGAAGAGGAAAAGCGGAAUUCCAAGUGUAGCGGUGAAAUGCGUAGAGAUUUGGAGGAACACCAGUGGCGAAGGCGGCUUUCUGGUCUGUAACUGACGCUGAGGCGCGAAAGCGUGGGGAGCAAACAGGAUUAGAUACCCUGGUAGUCCACGCCGUAAACGAUGAGUGCUAAGUGUUAGGGGGUUUCCGCCCCUUAGUGCUGCAGCUAACGCAUUAAGCACUCCGCCUGGGGAGUACGGCCGCAAGGCUG